GAGCGUCGUUUGCGACGCCCAACACACAAAACAAGCGGUGAAUGCUUUGGGGUGGGGUGACUGCGUACCUUUUGUAUAAUGGGUCAGCGACUUAUAUUCUGUAGCAAGGUUAACCGAAUAGGGGAGCCGGAGGGAAACCGAGUCUUAAUUGGGCGUUAAGUUGCAGGGUAUAGACCCGAAACCCGGUGAUCUAGCCAUGGGCAGGUUGAAGGUUGGGUAACACUAACUGGAGGACCGAACCGACUAAUGUUGAAAAAUUAGCGGAUGACCUGUGGCUGGGGGUGAAAGGCCAAUCAAACCGGGAGAUAGCUGGUUCUCCCCGAAAGCUAUUUAGGUAGCGCCUCGUGAAUUCAUCUCCGGGGGUAGAGCACUGUUUCGGCUAGGGGGCCAUCCCGGCUUACCAACCCGAUGCAAACUGCGAAUACCGGAGAAUGUUAUCACGGGAGACACACGGCGGGUGCUAACGUCCGUCGUGAAGAGGGAAACAACCCAGACCGCCAGCUAAGGUCCCAAAGUCAUGGUUAAGUGGGAAACGAUGUGGGAAGGCCCAGACAGCCAGGAUGUUGGCUUAGAAGCAGCCAUCAUUUAAAGAAAGCGUAAUAGCUCACUGGUCGAGUCGGCCUGCGCGGAAGAUGUAACGGGGCUAAACCAU
rnacentral:rRNA from 1 species